rnacentral:rRNA from 1 species
UAAGUCCCAAACUGGGAUUAGAUACCCCACUAUGCUUAGCCAUAAACACAAAAAUUUGCACAACAAAAAUUUUCGCCUGAGAACUACUAGCCACAGCUUAAAACUCAAAGGACUUGGCGGUGCUUUAUACCCACCUAGAGGAGCCUGUUCUAUAAUCGAUAAACCCCGAUACACCUCACCACUUCUUGCUAAUACAGCCUAUAUACCGCCAUCUUCAGCAAA